rnacentral:rRNA from 1 species
GAUGAACGCUGGCGGCGUGCCUAAUACAUGCAAGUCGAGCGAACAGACGAGGAGCUUGCUCCUCUGACGUUAGCGGCGGACGGGUGAGUAACACGUGGAUAACCUACCUAUAAGACUGGGAUAACUUCGGGAAACCGGAGCUAAUACCGGAUAAUAUAUUGAACCGCAUGGUUCAAUAGUGAAAGACGGUGUUGCUGUCACUUAUAGAUGGAUCCGCGCCGCAUUAGGUAGUUGGUAAGGUAACGGCUUACCAAGGCAACGAUGCGUAACCGACCUGAGAGGGUGAUCGGCCACACUGGAACGUAGCCACGGUCCAGACUACUACGGGAGGCAGCAGUAGGGAAUCUUCCGCAAAGGGCGAAAGCCUGACGGAGCAACGCCGCGUGAGUGAUGAAGGUCUUCGGAUCGUAAAACUCUGUUAUUAGGUAAGAACAAAUGUGUAAGUAACUAUGCACGUCUUGACGGUACCUAAUCAGAAAGCCACGGCUAACUACGUG